rnacentral:rRNA from 1 species
UACGUAGGUGGCAAGCGUUGUCCGGAAUUAUUGGGCGUAAAGCGCGCGCAGGCGGUCCUUUAAGUCUGAUGUGAAAGCCCACGGCUCAACCGUGGAGGGUCAUUGGAAACUGGGGGACUUGAGUGCAGGAGAGAAGAGUGGAAUUCCACGUGUAGCGGUGAAAUGCGUAGAGAUGUGGAGGAACACCAGUGGCGAAGGCGGCUACCUGGACAGAUACUGACGCUGAGGCGCGAAAGCGUGGGGAGCAAACAGG